GGAGCGGUGGGUGAGCCUGGUUUAAACCGAACGCCUUGAAAGCGUUUGAACGUGUAGAAAACGUUCCGUCAGUUCGAAUCUGACCCGCUCCU
rnacentral:tRNA from 1 species